UCUGUCUUAUAGUAAUAUUUUGAAAUUAAUUUUUUAGUUAAAAAGCUAAAAUUAAUUUUAAAGACAAGAAGACCCUAUUAAGCUUUACAAUUUUAUAUUAUUUUCAAACUAAUAAAAUAAUUGUUCUGCUGGGGCAGCAAAUAAAUAAAUAUUAUUUAUACAUUGUGAUAAAUAAAUCUAGAAAAAUCAAUAAUUUAUUAAAUAAUAAUAAGUUACUAUAGGGAUAACAGCAUAAUUUUUUUAAAGAGUUCUCAUCAACAAAAAAGUUUGUGACCUCGAUGUUGGAUU
rnacentral:rRNA from 1 species